GUUAAUGUAGCUUAAAUUAAAGCAAGGCACUGAAAAUGCCUAGACGGGUUAUAUAGCCCCAUAAACA
rnacentral:tRNA from 1 species